rnacentral:rRNA from 1 species
UCAUCGUAGGGUUAGUCGGGACCUAAGUCGAGUCCGAAAGGGGUAGACGAUGGCAAAUCGGUUAAUAUUCCGAUACCGACAUUACAUCAUUUGAGUGAUGGGGGGACGCAUAGAGUUAGACGAGGUCACUGAUGGAAUAGUGGCUCGAAGGGUGUAGGUUGUAGCGUAGGCAAAUCCGCGCUACAUUCGACCGAGACCUGACAGGCAGACCAAUCUCUUCGGAGAGCGGUUUGAAUCGUCGAUACUGUCGUGCCGAGAAAAGCCUCUAAACGAGAUGUAAUGUUGCCCGUACCGUAAACCGACACAGGUGGGUGAGAUGAGUAUUCUAAGGCGCGUGGAUGAACCCUUGUUAAGGAACUCUGCAAACUAGCACCGUAUCUUCGGUAUAAGGUGUGCCCUUAGCGUUAGAGGACUUGCUCCUCAAAGCGCUUCUGGGUCGCAGCAAAGAGUCCCUCCCGACUGUUUAC